AAAGGAUUCAUGUCAAUGUAUGGCAAAACCAAUACAAUAUUGUAAAGUAAUUAGCCUCCAAUUAAAAUAAAUAAAUUCAUAUUUUAAAAAAGGAUCUAUAUAUGACUUAAAUAUUGUUUUUUAACUUCAAUUAUAUAAAUGGACUUAUUUGGGGAUACAGUUCUCCAGAGGUCUCGUGCAGUUCUCUACAUCUCAUUAGCAGAGGCAUUGAGAGCAUUGCCUCUGGAUCAUCUUGUCAAGGAUGUUUGUAUAGCAAGCAGAAGAUAGUGGCUAGUUUUGGAAGACAGACAUAGCCUCCCUUUCUGAGGCAGAUGGCAGGUUUGUUUGCUGUCUGGUCUAAUAAAGACAGCAUUUCCCCCUGGGCAAAGUUCAGCUAGGUUUGCUUGCAGCCCAUCAUGAAUGUUAGGGUUCUCUAUACUCAGUGUCCCUCAGCUGUGUUGCAAACCCACUUCAUGUAUAGCAUCCACCUGGGGCCAAUCUGUGGCAUUGGUGGGAUAAAGGGAAUCAGUGCCUGCUGUGCUAUGAGUGCUAAAGUCCUUGUGCCUGACCUCGAGUCUCUUAUAUUCCCUCAGCAUCCAGGAACCUGUGGCAGAUGAACUUGUUAGCUGGCAAGUACAGCACUACCUCCAAGCUUUCACAGUACAGCCAAGACCCCUUGAGUACAGGACCUAAUACUUUAGCCACCUGAUGGGAAGAGCUGACUUAUUGAAAAAGACCCUGAUGCUAGGAAAGAUUGAAGGGAAAAGGAGAAGAGGGUGGCAGAGGAUGAGAUGGUUAGAUAGCAUUACUGACUCAAUGGACAUGAACUUGAGCAAACUCUGGAAGAUGGUGGAGGGAAGCCUGGCGUGCUGCAGUCCAUGGGAUCAUAAAAAGCUGGACACGACUUAGCAACUGAACAACAGCAACAGGACCCAAUCACCAUGAGAAGAAGCCCAAGCUAGCCACAUAGAAAGUAAAAGAGCAAAAGGUCACAGCCUCCCAACUGUCCCCACUGGGGCACCAAACUUGUGAACAAAGCCAUCUGACUGCAUCCACGUGAGAGACCUCAAUUGAGACAAACAGAAGAACAGCCCAGCAGAGCCCCAGCCAAACGACAGAAGGGUAAACAGAUACAGUGGUUGCUGUUUUCAGCUGAUGUGUUACACAGCAAUAGAUCAUCGAAAGAUGAUCACUUAUGUGAAUAGUUACAUCACGUAUGGAAAAUAAACUCAAAAAUCAUACUUUGUGUUCUUAUCUGGUUAAAUUGCUGAGGUCUUCACUGUUUCGAUGACUUUCAGAAAGAACAUGGG
ensembl:lncRNA